rnacentral:rRNA from 1 species
AGUGAACGCUGGCGGUAGGCCUAACACAUGCAAGUCGAAUGGCAGCACAGUAAGAGCUUGCUCUUACGGGUGGCGAGUGGCGGACGGGUGAGGAAUACAUCGGAAUCUACUUUUUCGUGGGGGAUAACGUAGGGAAACUUACGCUAAUACCGCAUACGACCUACGGGUGAAAGAAGGGGAUCUUCGGACCUUGCGCGAUUGAAUGAGCCGAUGUCGGAUUAGCUAGUUGGCGGGGUAAAGGCCCACCAAGGCGACGAUCCGUAGCUGGUCUGAGAGGAUGAUCAGCCACACUGGAACUGAGACACGGUCCAGACUCCUACGGGAGGCAGCAGUGGGGAAUAUUGGACAAUGGGCGCAAGCCUGAUCCAGCCAUACCGCGUGGGUGAAGAAGGCCUUCGGGUUGUAAAGCCCUUUUGUUGGGAAAGAAAAGCAGCAGGUUAAUACCCCGCUGUUCUGACGGUACCCAAAGAAUAAGCACCGGCUAACUUCGUG